rnacentral:tRNA from 1 species
GGCUUUAUAGUUUAAAGAGAAUUUUGAAUUGCAAAUUCAGGGGUAUAUUAGUUAUUAAAGCUU